AACGAUCGUCUCGGGAAGAAGGUCCGGGUGAAGUGUAACGAGGACGAUACGAUUGGCGACUUGAAGAAGCUCGUCGCCGCUCAGACCGGUACCAGGGCAGAGAAAAUCAGGAUCCAAAAGUGGUACAACAUCUACAAGGAUCAUAUCACUCUCAAGGAUUACGAGAUUCACGACGGCAUGGGUCUCGAGCUCUAUUACAACUGAUCUCGUAUCGCUGUGAGUUUUUACGGCUUUUCUGUUUCUUGCUGUGUUUGAUGGCGUUGGUGUUUCGUUUUUCGUCCAGUGUUGUUUUGUUUGAUACGAUUUCUAGAACGCUUUGUUUAGUUUUCCUUGGAUUUUAGGGUUCGUUUGACGCGAUUAAGAGGGAGGCGCUUGUUUUUAGAGGUUGUAAGGAUUCAAUUCUCUCUGUCUCUAAGACGAGCGAUCAAAGAUUAACUUUCGAUGGACGUGGUACGGCGGACAUUGCAGUGUGUAAACCGCCGUGUGAAGCCUUUGUAACAUAAGGAUCUCGUUCUCUUUCCUUUUUCUAUUUUGGAGAUUUAUUUAUGGUCCAUGAAAUAUCAGAUCGGUUACUAGUUUUGAAAUCAUGGUAUUUCCUCUUAUGUAUGGGUGUUUUCUCUCUCCAAGGUUUGGAAAUCCUUUGGAAGAUACGUAGUGGGAGCGCUCAAUGCGAGUCUUAUAUUGCUGAACAGGCCUCGACAUAUAAUAUUUGGUCUGCUUAGCGAACGCUACCGGUCAAUGUUGUUUUGAUGUCUAUAGCCUGUGUGUGGAAUUAGCUACCCUGUCGAUGACAACGAGUUCUCAAGUAUUGGAAAUUUCCUUCUAAAGGGAGUUGUUUAUUUUGAGAAAUCUACUUUAAAGGAGAUUUUUGUUGUGCUCAUCUUAAUUCUCUGUUAAUUAUCUCCUUAUUGUAGGGGACUUAAUCCUUUAACCAUCUUCUUCCGCUCUUUUAAUGAGCCAGAAAUUUUAUUUUGAAGUUGGUGCUUAUUUGUGUAGCUAUGCCUUGGGCUGCCUUGUCCUAUUGGUUUUGUGCUUAAAGGGUGCCAGAAUCACGCGCAAUUUUCCAUUCCAAGCAUAGAUGUUUUAAAGUAAUUGGAAUGCUGAGAGGAGACCACCAAGUUGAUCUGACACCACACCAUCUAUCAUUUAUCGGUCAUCUGAUGGGAGUAGCAUGGGUGGAAGACGAAUUUUUUUAAGCCCUCAUGGGUUAUAAGUUGAUUGGGGUGGAUAUUGUUAGAUUGAUAGAAUUUGAGAAUUGAGCCGGGUUUGUGGUUUCCGUGAGGAUGACAUGAUGGAACAGUUGUGGAUUUCGAAAGUGAAGGAAUACGUGGGGAUUUAGGUGUCUUGUGGCAUUGCGCAAGAGCUUUGCUUUUGGCCUCCCUCAGUAAGAUGCAGUAUCUGCUAUUUACUCUACCGGGCAAAUACCAAAUUUAUUUUUGGAUCAACCAUGUCCAGGAUUCGAUUCAGCCAACAAAAAUAUAGACUUUUGUUGUACUAAAUAAAUUAUGUCACGGGCCUUGCUUUGAUGUUUAUCUUGUCAAUAAUUUCUUUUUUGAGAUUUGGAGUUUUGUUAGGUCUUUGAAAUCAAGGUUGAGCCAGGCUUUUGUGUGCUGUUAACACCGAGUUAAAUCAUACUUAAAUUACUUUAGAUGUGCAUGUAGUUGAUCAAUGUCUGUAGAUGUGAAACGUGAGUCAGGACCUAAUUACAAUAUGCUUAAUUUUACAUCACUUGGGUGAAUUAUAUGUCGAAAAUUUAUGAACUAUUGAUUGUUUGUGCUAAGCUUCUUUCA
rnacentral:misc_RNA from 1 species